rnacentral:rRNA from 1 species
AUUGAACGCUGGCGGCAGGCCUAACACAUGCAAGUCGAGCGGUAGCACAGAGAGCUUGCUCUCGGGUGACGAGCGGCGGACGGGUGAGUAAUGUCUGGGAAACUGCCUGAUGGAGGGGGAUAACUACUGGAAACGGUAGCUAAUACCGCAUAACGUCGCAAGACCAAAGUGGGGGACCUUCGGGCCUCAUGCCAUCAGAUGUGCCCAGAUGGGAUUAGCUGGUAGGUGGGGUAACGGCUCACCUAGGCGACGAUCCCUAGCUGGUCUGAGAGGAUGACCAGCCACACUGGAACUGAGACACGGUCCAGACUCCUACGGGAGGCAGCAGUGGGGAAUAUUGCACAAUGGGCGCAAGCCUGAUGCAGCCAUGCCGCGUGUGUGAAGAAGGCCUUCGGGUUGUAAAGCACUUUCAGCGGGGAGGAAGGCGAUAAGGUUAAUAACCUUGUCGAUUGACGUUACCCGCAGAAGAAGCACCGGCUAACUCCGUGCCAGCAGCCGCGGUAAUACGGAGGGUGCAAGCGUUAAUCGGAAUUACUGGGCGUAAAGCGCACGCAGGCGGUCUGUCAAGUCGGAUGUGAAAUCCCCGGGCUCAACCUGGGAACUGCAUUCGAAACUGGCAGGCUAGAGUCUUGUAGAGGGGGGUAGAAUUCCAGGUGUAGCGGUGAAAUGCGUAGAGAUCUGGAGGAAUACCGGUGGCGAAGGCGGCCCCCUGGACAAAGACUGACGCUCAGGUGCGAAAGCGUGGGGAGCAAACAGGAUUAGAUACCCUGGUAGUCCACGCUGUAAACGAUGUCGAUUUGGAGGUUGUGCCCUUGAGGCGUGGCUUCCGGAGCUAACGCGUUAAAUCGACCGCCUGGGGAGUACGGCCGCAAGGUUAAAACUCAAAUGAAUUGACGGGGGCCCGCACAAGCGGUGGAGCAUGUGGUUUAAUUCGAUGCAACGCGAAGAACCUUACCUGGUCUUGACAUCCACAGAACUUUCCAGAGAUGGAUUGGUGCCUUCGGGAACUGUGAGACAGGUGCUGCAUGGCUGUCGUCAGCUCGUGUUGUGAAAUGUUGGGUUAAGUCCCGCAACGAGCGCAACCCUUAUCCUUUGUUGCCAGCGGUUAGGCCGGGAACUCAAAGGAGACUGCCAGUGAUAAACUGGAGGAAGGUGGGGAUGACGUCAAGUCAUCAUGGCCCUUACGACCAGGGCUACACACGUGCUACAAUGGCAUAUACAAAGAGAAGCGACCUCGCGAGAGCAAGCGGACCUCAUAAAGUAUGUCGUAGUCCGGAUUGGAGUCUGCAACUCGACUCCAUGAAGUCGGAAUCGCUAGUAAUCGUAGAUCAGAAUGCUACGGUGAAUACGUUCCCGGGCCUUGUACACACCGCCCGUCACACCAUGGGGAGUGGGUUGCAAAAGAAGUAGGUAGCUUAACCUUCGGGAGGGCGCUUACCACUUUGUGAUUCAUGACUGGGGGUGAAG